ACGUCGGUAGAGUAAUGGAUCAGCACGGCAAACCUGCUAUCUGUAAUUGCGGGUUCGAGUCCCGCCUGAGGUU
rnacentral:tRNA from 1 species